rnacentral:rRNA from 1 species
GCCUAAGGUAUGCAAGUCGAAUGCCGAUUUAUCGGCAUGGCAGACGGCUGAGUAAUACAUGGGAAUCUACCUCAAACUCGAGAAUAGCCCAUCGAAAGGUGGUGUAAUACUCGAUAGUUCCGUUUACGGUAAAGCUCCGGCGGUUUGAGAUGAGCCCAUGUCCUAUCAGGUUGUUGGUGGGGUAAUUGCCUACCAAGCCUAUGACGGGUAGCUGGUUUGAGAGGAUGAUCAGCCAGACUGGGACUGCGAUACGGCCCAGACUCCUACGGGAGGCAGCAACUAGGAAUCAUGCGCAAUGGACGAAAGUCUGACGCUGCGACGUCGCGUGAGGGAUGAAGGUCUUCGGAUCGUAAACCUCUUUUAUCUGGGAACAAGUUCUGAGUGUACCAGAUGAAUAAGUGCCUGCCAACCACGUGCCAGAAGCAUCGGUAAUGCGUGGGGCACGAGCGUUAUCCGGAUUUACUGGGCGUAAAGAGAUGCGUAGGCGCCUUUUUAAGUCACUUGUAAAAUCUCCCCGCUCAACGGGGAAACUGCAAGUGAUACUGAAUUGGUUGAGUCAAGUAGAGGAGAGGGGAAUUCCUGGUGGAGCGGUUAAAUGCGUUGAUAUCAGGAGGAAUACCAAGUGCGAAGGCACCUCUCUGGACUUGUACUGACGCUAAGGCUCGAAAGUGUGGGGAGCAAAACGGAUUAGAUACCCGUGUAGUCCACACUGUAAACGAUCCCUGCUAGAUGUUUGC